rnacentral:rRNA from 1 species
AUACGUAGGUGGCGAGCGUUGUCCGGAUUUACUGGGCGUAAAGGGAGCGUAGGCGGUAUUUUUUAAGUGAGAUGUGAAAUACUCGGGCUUAACCUGAGUGCUGCAUUUCAAACUGGAAGUCUAGAGUGCAGGAGAGGAGAAGAGAAUUCCUAGUGUAGCGGUGAAAUGCGUAGAGAUUAGGAAGAAUACCAGUGGCGAAGGCGCUUCUCUGGACUGUAACUGACGCUGAGGCUCGAAAGCGUGGGGAGC